GAAUAAACUAUGUAAGUAGCUUGGAGUGACAUCUAUCGGGUUUACGUGUCUAACACAAAUUUCAGCAGAUAUGGUUAACUUAAAUUGUUCUACCGUUACAUCAUAUCUUAUUCAUGUCAUGGACGAACACAAGGAUCAACAAUUCAUUUUGGCACCGUAUCACCAAGAUAAUCAUUGGUUACUGAUCGCGAUUUGCACACCUUUAAAAACGGUGUAUGUGUUUAAUCCUAUGAAAAGUGGGCGCACCCUUGAUGUUAAAACUUUUGUGAAUAUGACAUUUUGAUCUGUUCCUACAAAUGGACGAGGAACUAGA